rnacentral:rRNA from 1 species
GAUGAACGCUGGCGGCGUGCCUAAUACAUGCAAGUCGAGCGAACAGACGAGGCGCUUGCUCCUCUGACGUUAGCGGCGGACGGGUGAGUAACACGUGGAUAACCUACCUAUAAGACUGGGAUAACUUCGGGAAACCGGCGCUAAUACCGGAUAAUAUAUUGAACCGCAUGGUUCAAUAGUGAAAGACGGUUUUGCUGUCACUUAUAGAUGGAUCCGCGCCGCAUUAGCUAGUUGGUAAGGUAACGGCUUACCAAGGCAACGAUGCGUAGCCGACCUGAGAGGGUGAUAGGCCACACUGGAAGUGAGACACGGUCCAGACUCCUAAGGGAGGCAGCAGUAGGGAAUCUUCCGCAAUGGGCGAAAGCCUGACGGAGCAACGCCGCGUGAGUGAUGAAGGUCUUCGGAUCGUAAAACUCUGUUAUUAGGGAAGAACAAAUGUGUAAGUAACUAUGCACGUCCUGACGGUACCUAAUCAGAAAGCAACGGCUAACUACGUG